UUGCCCAGUCUGUCUUUGUUGCAUGCUCGUACUCAUGCACUCGCUAGUCCUGAACACAGACAAAGAAAGGUGUGUCCUGAUACUCUGUACUGUUUCGACGAGAGGGAGUUAGCUCAACCUGGAGUUAUACGGACAUACAUCCGACAAAUGUCAAACCACACAAAUAUCUUGCUCGUGUCAUUUAUUGAUUAUUAUGGUGAUCAUUGCAAUAUGUUCUAGCAGUUAUCAGAUUGAUAAGAUUGGAGCCCCACAAAAAAUAAAUAAAAUAAAAUAAAAUAAAAUAAAAUAAAAAAUAAAAAGAGAGAAAAAAAAAAACCAAUCUCAAUUAUCCUCCGCACCAUCGGAUGAGGAAGAAACAACAACUCCGUACGAACCGACCCAAGUAUUUCAGCUGCCACUAAUCUGCUGAAAUGGAAAGAACAGACACAAUAAGAUUGUAUUUUGUCGAGGAGGGGCUGGGCGUCUCAGGCCAAUUCUGUGGUUGUUGUACAGCAGCCUACAACUCCUGUCAGAUAUAGUGAUACAAUGUUGCUAGACCGCUGAAGUUGAGGGAAACUUGAGAAGAAAAGUCGAAUUGGGCUCAGAACCAGCCGUAUCCAGUUUGUCGAAUUCAUAUAAUUGUGGUAUUUGGGGGUAGAGAUGUCUCAGGUUCUCCAAUUGCUUCUAAACAACUUACCAGU
rnacentral:sRNA from 1 species